AUGAGCCAUCCUACAGCCGUCCUGAAGCUGACCCGCAGACCCGCACAGCAGGGUAAAUACCGCGUUGGGCUCAGCAGGAAACUUCUGAAGCUGCAGGCACGGGGAAUUUCUGGACCCGAGCGGGUUCCUCCCCGACGCCCUGCCCGACCCCGUCCCCGUCCCCCGCCCCGCAGCCGCUCCUCCUCCUCCGCCCCCUGCGGCCCCAGCCGGCCCGGCGUGCUCAGGGAAGGUGCGUGUCCGCUCCCCUCCUUCUCCUCCUCUUCCUCCUCCUCCUCCUCUUCGCAGGGAGCCGGGCGGGGCGGGGGUUCGUGGGACAACCCUCGGGGAAGCUGCCCGGGCACCCCCAGCGCUCUGUGGGAGCCGCCAUCUUGUCCCGCAGCCCGCUCCCCCCCGACAUGGCGCCCUUGGGUGCUGCCCUGGCGGGCCGGGGGGCGGUGGGGCGGAGGGGGCAGCCGUCAGCUCUGCCUCCACACACACAGCCAGAAACACGUCCCUCCCGCCUAUUUCCUCUCAAAGGAAAUUAAAAAAUAAAUAUAUAUGUAUAUAUAUCGACGCCAAGAUGCAGCUGGCAGUACACACGUGGUCAGCGCCCCUGCAAAGAGCCGGGCACGGUGCUGCCCCCACAGCAGUGCCGCUGGAAAGGAGGGCGUAAAUUAGAUGUUAUGUGUCGUGGCACAUCACAGCCGAGAAGUGCAAAGUGGUUUUCGUGCUUCUGAGCAGGAAGCGUCAGUAACUAGUGCCGUUCAGGUUUGUUUUGACAGGGGUUUAGUCUUCAAAGACCACCUUUCCCAAGUUGAUGCAAAAGAGGAAAGUAUAGAAGGAGGGAGGCAGUUUUGCAUAAGUAUAUACGAUUUUAUGUACGUAUAUACAUAUUUUAUGGGGCUACUACAUAUAUGAAAGAAAAGUGAGAUGUAAAAACCUGUCAAUUCUGCAAGCUGAAUCAGACUUUUCUAAGGAGCUAUUAGAUAUGGAGCAGCCUUCUGAAUCUCAUGGCUGUGUCUGACAAGCUGCAAGUCUUAUUUCGAGUACUACAGAAGAGACAGUACAAAGUACAAGCACCGGAUUUGUGUUUGAUUGUUGAUUACCUGCUUUUGCCUCCAAGCUGCAGAAUUCAUGGGUCCUGACUUUCCAGGUGCUGAAUGAGCACCCCAAAGGCC
rnacentral:lncRNA from 1 species